rnacentral:rRNA from 1 species
UACGUAGGGGGCUAGCGUUGUCCGGAAUCAUUGGGCGUAAAGCGCGUGUAGGCGGCCCGGUAAGUCCGCUGUGAAAGUCCAGGCUCAACCCUGGGAUGCCGGUGGAUACUGUCGGGCUCGAGUCCGGAAGAGGCGAGUGGAAUUCCUGGUGUAGCGGUGAAAUGCGCAGAUAUCAGGAGGAACACCAAUGGCGAAGGCAGCUCGCUGGGACGUGACUGACGCUGAGACGCGAAAGCGUGGGGGAGCAAACAGG